rnacentral:rRNA from 1 species
UGCGACCUACGGGAGGCAGCAGUGGGGGAUAUUGCACAAUGGGGGCAACCCUGAUGCAGCGACGCCGCAUGAGCGAUGGAGUACUUCGGUAUGUAAAGCUCUGUCAGCAGGGAAGAGAAUGACGGUACCUGACCAAGAAGCCCCGGCUAAAUACGUGCCAGCAGCCGCGGUAAUACGUAUGGGGCAAGCGUUAUCCGGAUUUACUGGGUGUAAAGGGAGCGUAGACGGCCAUGCAAGCCUGGAGUGAAAGCCCGGGGCCCAACCCCGGGACUGCUCUGGGAACUGUGCGGCUGGAGUGCGGGAGG